rnacentral:rRNA from 1 species
AUUGAACGCUGGCGGCAGGCCUAACACAUGCAAGUCGAACGAGUGGCGGACGGGUGAGUAAUGCCUGGGAAUCUGGCCGAUGGAGGGGGAUAACUACGGGAAACUGUAGCUAAUACCGCAUACCAUCGGAUGUGCCCAGGUGGGAUUAGCUAGUAGGUGGGGUAAAGGCUCACCUAGGCGACGAUCCCUAGCUGGUCUGAGAGGAUGACCAGCCACACUGGAACUGAGACACGGCCCAGACUCCUACGGGAGGCAGCAGUGGGGAAUAUUGCACAAUGGGGGCAAGCCUGAUGCAGCCAUGCCGCGUGGAUGAAGAAGGCCUUCGGGUUGUAAAGUACUUUCAGUGGGGAGGCGUUACUCGCAGAAGAAGCACCGGCUAACUCCGUGCCAGCAGCCGCGGUAAUUC